CGUAACCUCAGGUCAGGCGGGAUCACCCACUGAGUUUAAGCAUAUAAAUAAGUAGAGGAAAAAAAACUUACCAGGAUUCCCCUAGUAAUGGUGAUCGAACCAGGAAGAGCCCAGCUUGAAUUGUAGUCUGGAGAAGCAUCCUUAGUGGCGGAUCGAGCUCCAGUCCCUUGGAAAAGGGUGCUGGAGACGGUGAGAGCCCCGUUAUGCCCAGACCCUAUCGUAGCACAGAGUGAGUCAGGUUGUUUGGGAUUACAGCCCCAAUCAGGCUGUAAAUUCCAUCUAAGGUUGAAUACGGGUGGGAGAUCGAUAACGAACAAGUACCGCAAGGGAAAGAUGAAAAGGAAUUUGAAAAGAGAGUCAAAGAGUGCUUGAAAUUGUUAGGAGGGAAGUGGAUGGGGGCCUGUGAUGCGCCCCAAUCGAAUGUGGAAUGGUGAGAGCUCAUCUACCAAUCAGUUUGGGGCUUGGACCGAUGCGGGUUUCGACAGUGGCCCAAGCCCGAGCUUUCGAUGUGCCCACGAAGACCUCAUCACCGUGAUCAUGGAAUGCAGCACACGCUGUCUCGACGUGCCUCUACACCUGCGUACUUCAUGUGUCAGCCUACGGGCUCCCCAUUCAGCCCGUCUUGAAACACGGAACAAGGAGUCUAACAUGUGUACGAGUCAACGGGUGAAGAAAACCAUAAAGCACAAAGAAGUUGAUUGGCGGGAUCCCUCACGGGUGCACCAUCAACCAACCUUGAUCUUCUGAGAAGGGUUCGAGUGCGAGCAUGCCUGUCGGGACCCAAAAAAUGAGCGAGGCAAAGCCAGAGGAAACUCUGGUGGAGGCUCGUAGUGAUACUGACGUGCAAAUCAUUCGUCUGACUUGGGUAUAGGGGCGAAAGACUAAUUGAAUCGUCUAGUGGCCGGUUCCCUCUGAAGUUUCCCUCAGGAUAGCUGGAGUCCCCAGCAAGUUUAAUGGGUAAAGCCAAUUAUUAGAGGCAUCGGGGGCGUAAUGCCCUCGACCUAUUUUCAAACUUUAAAUAGAUAGGACGAUGCGGUUGCUUCGUUGAGCCGCCCCACAAAAUCGAGAGCUCUAAGUGAGCCAUUUUUGGUAAGCUAAACUGGUGAUACGGGAUGAACCGAAAGUCAAGUUACGGUGCCCAACUACACGCUAACCCAAAACCCACAAAAGGUGUUGGUCGAUUAAGACAGCAGAACGGUGGUCAUGGAAGUCAAAAUCCACUAAGGAGUGUGUAACAACUCACCUACCAAAUCAACUAUCUCUGAAAAUGGAUGGCGCUUAAGCGCGUGACCUAUACCUGACCAUCAGGGCAAGGGCCAAGCUCCGAUGAGUAGGAGGGUGUGACGGUCAUCACAAAAAUUGAAGUACGAGCCUGAUCGGAAUGGCCAUCGAUGCAGAUCUUAGUGGUAGUAGCAAAUAUUCAAAUGAGGACUUUGAAGGUCGAAGAGGGGAAAAGUUCCAUGUGAACGGCACUUGCACAUGGGUUAGUCGAUCCUAAGAGCCCAUCCUACAGUGCAUCCCACACGAGCUUCGAAAGGGAUUCGGGUUAAAAUUCUUGAAUCCGAACGCGACGGAUGAUAGUAACGUUAGGAAGUCUAGAGACAUCGGUGGGGGCCUCAAAAAAAGUUAUCUUUCCUAUUUAACAGCUCACCCACCCUAGAAACAGCUCAAUCGGAGGUAGGGUCUAGCGACCAGAAGAGCACCGCACAUUGUGUGCUGUCUGGUGUACCCCCAACAGCCUCUGAAAAUCUGGAGGACCAAGUGCCGUCUGUGCCUGGUUGUACUCAUAAUCGCAUCAGGUCUCCAAGGUGAAUAGCCUCUGGUCGAUGGAACAAUGUAGCAAAUGAAGUCGACAAAAUGGAUCCGUAACCUCGAGAAAAAGAUUUGCUCUGAGGGCUGGGCACGGGGGUCCCAAUCUCGAAACCGUUGACUACUAGUGCACUACCUGAGCUAUUCUCGCGGUAAGAACGGGUCGUCGCAUGUUGGUCGGGGGACGGACUAGGAAUGGCUCCAUCAGGGGCCUUUCCCGGGUGAUGAACAGUCAACUCAAAAUUGGUACGGACAAGGGGAAUCCAACUGCUUAAUUAAAACAAAGCAUUGAGAUGGUCCUUGCGGAUGCUCAGGCAAUGUAAUUUCUACCCAGUGCUCUGAAUGUCAAAGUGAAGAAAUUGAACCAAGCAUGGGUAAAUGGCAAGAGUAACUAUGACUCUCUUAAGGUAACCAAAUGCCUCGUCAUCUAAUUAGUGACGCACAUGAAUGGAUUAAUAAGAUUCCCACUGUCCUUGUCUACUAUCUAGUGAAACCACAGCCAAGGGAACGGUCCUGGCAGAAUCAGCGAGGAAAGAAGACCCUAUUGAGCUUGACUCUAGUCUGACUUUGUGAAAUGACUUGAGAGGUGUAGGAUAAGUGGGAGCCCCCGGGAAAAAUUGAAAUACCACUACCUUUAACGUUAUUUUACUUAUUCCGUGAAUCAGAGGUGGGGCACAACCCCUUCUUUUGGACCCAAGGCCAACCUCGGUCGGUUGAUCCGGGCAAAAGACAUUGUCAGGUGGGGAGUUUGGCUAGGGUGGCACAUCUGUUGAAAGAUAAUGCAAGUGUCUUAAGAUGAGCUCAACGAGAACAAAAAUCUCAUAUGAAACAAAAAGGUAAAAGAUCGUUUGAUUCUGAUUUCCAGUACGAAUAUGAAACAUGAAAGUGUGGCUUAUCGAUCCUUUAGACCUUCGAGAUUUGAAGCUAGAGGUGUCAAAAAAGUUACCACAGGGAUAACUGGCUAGUGGCAGUUAAGCAUUCAUAGUGACGUUACUUUUUGAUCCUUCGAUGUCGGCUCUUCCUAUCAUUGUGAAGCAGAAUUCACCAAGUGUUGGAUUGUUCACCCAUCAAUAGGGAAUGUGAGCUGGGUUUAGAUCGUUGUGAGAUAGGUUAGUUUUACCCUACUGAUGGUGAUAGUGUGAUACUAAUUCAACCUAGUACGAGAGGAACUAUUGAUUUGCACAAUUGGUCAUCACGCUUGGUUGAAAAGCCAAUGGCGUGAAGCUACCGUGCAUUGGAUUAUGACUGAAUGCCUCUAAGUCAAAAUCUGGGCUAGAUCAACAUGCGCGUCUGUCGCUCGAUUACCGACCCGCUUGCUAACCAUGACACAUGCACAUGCCUCGACCACCAUCGAGAUAUGUUGGCCCUUGGUCUCAGUGCAUGCUUCGACCUUGGUGCAGGUAGUUCUCUUGAACAG
rnacentral:rRNA from 1 species